GAAAAGCUGUAGACACUCAACACCAGGCCAUGAAAGCAGCCGGGAAGGAGGUUGUACCCUGCAAUGCCACAAGGGUGGAGCUACCCAAGACCAUGGGAACCCACCUUUUGCAUCAGGUUGACCUGGAAUUGUGACCGGAAUUCAAAGGAGAUCAUUUUGGAACUUUAAAAUUUGAUUGCCCCACUGGAUUUCGGACUUGCAUGGGGCCUGUAACCCUUUUGUUUUGGCCAAUUUCUCCCAUUUGGAAUGGCUAUAUUUACCCAAUACCUCUACCUCCACUGUAUCUAUAAAGUAACCAGCUUGCUUUUGCUUUUACAGGCUCGUAAGUGGAAGAAAUUUGCCUUGUCGCAAAUGAGAUUUUGGACUGUGGACUUUUGGGUUAAUGCUGAAGUUCAAGGUCUUCUCCUGCCUUAAUCUCCCAAGUUGCUGGAACUACAGGCUUGCACCACAAUGCCCUGCUGAUUUUGUAUUUUUAGUAUAGACGGGAUUUCACCAUGUUGGCCAGUCUGGUCUUGAAUUUCUUACCUCAGGUGAUUCGCCCACCUCGGCUUCCCAAAGUGCUGGGAUUACAGGCAUGAGCCAACAACGCCUGGCCGACGUCUUACAUUUUUAGUAUUUGCACUUUAUUGUGUGCCAAUGAUAUCUUAAUAAAGUUGUUUAAAAGUUUUAUACAAAUUCACUUGAGUCUGCCUUUUGAUAUUAGUUAUAAAAUAAUUUGGAAUUUGCACUUAUUGACCAAAAUUGAUACGACCCUUUGAAAUAUUUUCUUUUCAUAUUAAACUUUAUUCCAAUACAAAACUAACCAACUUAGUUCACUGUUGUGGUUUUGGUGUUGUUUUGUGUUUCCUCAUUGUGUUUGCUUCAUUUUCCUUAUGCAAGCAUAUAGAUCCUGUGUUGUUAAAUUUUGCAAUAUACAGUAAUACAUUGUAUUCAACCAGAUUUCAAAACUUUCAUAUAUGAUAACAUAUUUAUGUUAUAUUGAAUCGCUCUGCAUUUAGAGGCAACAAUCUGAAUAGAAAACCAACAUUGUUUUAACAAUGGCAGAGUUAAAAAAAAUCCAGUGUAUAAGCAUUUUCCUUGUGUUAAUAGUGUCCAGCACUUUGGUAAUAAGUUAGGAAGGAGAUAUUGUUUGUUCAAAGUAACUUUGCAUUUUCCAAUUAUUCACAUAAUCGACACUUUUCAAAAACACUUUUCCUCUCUA
rnacentral:lncRNA from 1 species